GGAUUGCAGUCUGCAACUCGAGUGCAUGAAGCUGGAAUCGCUAGUAAUCGCGGAUCAGAAUGCCGCGGUGAAUACGUUCCCGGGUCUUGUACACACCGCCCGUCACACCAUGGGAGCCGACAACGCCCGAAGUCAGUGACCUAACCGAGAGGGAGGAGCUGCCGAAGGCGGGGUUGGUAACUGGGGUGAAGUCGUAACAAGGUAUC
rnacentral:rRNA from 1 species